rnacentral:rRNA from 1 species
AAUCAACGCUGGCGGCGUGCCUCAGACAUGCAAGUCGAACGAUUAAAGCUCUCUUCGGAGAGUGCAUAGAGUGGCGCACGGGUGAGUAACACGUAAGUAAUCUACCUUCGAGUGGGGAAUAACGUCCGGAAACGGACGCUAAUACCGCAUAAUGCAGCGGCAUCGUAAGAUGACAGUUGUUAAAGAUUUAUCGCUUGAAGAGGAGCUUGCGGCAGAUUAGCUAGUUGGUAAGGUAAUGGCUUACCAAGGCUACGAUCUGUAACCGGUCUUAGAGGACGGUCGGUCACACUGACACUGAAUAACGGGUCAGACUCCUACGGGGGCAGCAGUCGGGAAUUUUGGGCAAUGGGCGAAAGCCUGACCCAGCAACGCCGCGUGAGUGAUGAAGGCCUUAGGGUUGUAAAGCUCUUUUACCCGAGAUGAUAAUGACAGUAUCGGGAGAAUAAGCUCCGGCUAACUCCGUGCCAGCAGCCGCGGUAAU